GUCAGUGGAGCUUCAGCGAUGGCUGCAUGCUCUGCUCUGUGCUCCUGCUUCAUACAGGAAGCUUCAGUGAGACAAGCAGGCUGGUCAGCCCCCCUCUCCAGCAUUGCUUCCCAGUACAGGGUCACAGUGAUCGUGGAGCAGGAUGCUGAGCACAGGGCGGGGACACCCUGUGCAGGACGCCAGCCCAUCUCUGGACACACACACGCAGCACAGGCAAUUC